rnacentral:lncRNA from 1 species
CUUGUUCUUAUCAAGCAAGUUUGUAGCCUUUGUAAUUGCAAGAUUGAUCUUUUUAACUUUUUGAGGUGAUAGGUUUGAUUUAACAUCCUCAUUCUUUAGAGCAUUCGUCAGCUUGUAGAUGCAGUCAUCUAAUUCAUUCAUUACCUUAGCCUUUCUUAGGAAUCUCUCAUCUUAGAAUAAAAGAACCAAGCAGAUUGUUGUCUGCAACACUUGCUCUCUCACCCUCAUAAACCUCAAUGGAGGCACCACAACUAUCCUUAGAUGUUGCAUAUCCUUUUGCUAAUGAUAGGAGCAGUUAAACACUGCUCAGUCAGUUACUUACAACCUUACAGGGGUGUAGGAUAAUCCCUCAGUCAGUGUAAAUAGAUUCUUUAUUAACAAGAAAUACAGUUACAAAAUUCAAAAGAGAUGAAAUCUCAAUUCUCUCUAAUAGAGACUUUAACUCUUAUCAUGUGAGUUUAACCUACAAAGAAUCUUCUAUUUUAGUGUCAUCGUUUUAAAACAGAACAUACAAGAUAUCAAAAUCAACCAAUAAACAUAUUUUAAGCAAACACCAUUCACAUGAUCAAACUCAUGACAACAUUAAUGGGUUUUUAAAUAAAAUUCCAUCAGUAAUCUUAUUUAAACUCAUAUAUAAGGCAUAUNNNNNNNNNNNNNNNNNNNNNNNNNNNNNNNNNNNGUUUUGAAAAAUAAUUAUUUAGUCUUGGAUUUCUAAUUUUAUGAAUUAUCAUUGCAAACUUGUUCAGGUAUCAUGAAUAUUGAUAAGUCUUGGAUUUCUAAGCUGCAUACUUCAUCUGAAUACGAAAUUGGUUUAGAUAAAUUCUUAGAUUUUGCAUUUAAGAAUGCGG